AACGAACGCUGGCGGCGUGCCUAACACAUGCAAGUCGAACGUGAUUAGGGAGCUUGCUCUCUAUGAAAGUGGCGCACGGGUGAGUAACGCGUAGAUAAUCUGCCUGAUGAUCGGGGAUAACACUUCGAAAGGGGUGCUAAUACCGGAUAAGCCCACGGAGUCUUUGGACUCUGCGGGAAAAGGGGGGGACCUUUUAGGCCUUCUGUCAUCAGAUGAGUCUGCGUACCAGUAGCUAGUUGGUAGGGUAAAGGCCUACCAAGGCGACGAUGGUUGGCUGGUCUGAGAGGAUGAUCAGCCACACUGGAACUGAGACACGGUCCAGACUCCUACGGGAGGCAGCAGUGGGGAAUUUUGCGCAAUGGGGGAAACCCUGACGCAGCAACGCCGCGUGAGUGAUGAAGGCCCUUGGGUCGUAAAGCUCUGUCGUUUGGGACGAACGUGCUAAUUGUGAAUAAUGAUUAGUAAUGACGGUACCAAAGGAGGAAGCCACGGCUAACUACGUGCCAGCAGCCGCCGUAAUAC
rnacentral:rRNA from 1 species